UAGGGAAUCUUCGGCAAUGGACGAAAGUCUGACCGAGCAACGCCGCGUGAGUGAAGAAGGUUCUCGGAUCGUAAAACUCUGUUGUUAUAGAAGAACAAGGACGUUAGUAACUGAACGUCCCCUGACGGUAUCUAACCAGAAAGCCACGGCUAACUACGUCCCAGCAGCCGCGGUAAUACGUAGGUGGCAAGCGUUGUCCGGAUUUAUUGGGCGUAAUGCGAGCGCAGGCGGUUUCUUAAGUCUGAUGUGAAAGCCCCCGGCUCAACCGGGGAGGGUCAUUGGAAACUGGGAGACUUGAGUGCAGAAGAGGAGAGUGGAAUUCCAUGUGUAGCGGUGAAAUGCGUAGAUAUAUGGAGGAACACCAGUGGCGAAGGCGGCUCUCUGGUCUGUAUCUGACGCUGAGGCUCGAAAGCGUGGGGAGGAAACAGG
rnacentral:rRNA from 1 species